rnacentral:miRNA from 1 species
AAAGCUCGUUGAUACGAAGGUU